UUAUGGCUGUAUUGAAGAAAGUCAUUUGUCUAAAUGGAAAGAUGUAAUGCACUUGUAAAAAUCGGAGCUGAUAUCAUAUCCUAUGUUGGUUAUGCUUCUUUUAUCUUAUUUGAGAAAUCUAUGUUGUUGUAGUUGGUCACUGGGUUUUAGUUAUGAGAAAUCGUAGUUUUGGUUGUAAUUAAUGGUAAAUUUACAUAAAGGUGCUGUGUACGCUGUGAUUUGGUGGUGUUUGGCUGUAGUGUAGCUCGAGAACACUUUGUCGUCUACUUUCUGCAAAUCAUACCUUAUUCUUAAAGGCAACUUAAAAGUAACAAGGUUUUCAUCUGUGUCUAUUGAAAGUUGUUCCCUUAAUGAUCCUGAUGAGAUUUGUCAAUUUCAUUGGAUUAGUUUGUUUUCAUUCACUGUAGGACUGCUUUUUUGCUCAUGUGCUUUUAUCUUAUUUACAGAACUAGAACAAUAGAUACUGUGAAACGUUGUAGUUUCACUGUCUUGGUAUGGCUGCUGAUAACUAAAUGGUGGCACUCUAAUGAACCACGAUAUCUGGGAUAAAUUUCAAUAUCCAAGAUAAUAUUGGCAACUGAUGAUCUUAUAUUAUCUUGAACUUUUGAAUGCCAUGUGUAGAACUCUUGCCAAUUGUUUCUUUGUCUUUUAGCAAAGGUUGGGAAGAACCGGAGAAAUAAGAAUUCUUCUUUUUUAUGAGAUAAUAUUUCAGCUGUUUUAUUUAUUUAAACGAUAUGAGAGGUGACGCAUUAUCAUACCUUCAUUAAUUUAUUUCUAAGUCCAAAUCUGUGUAUCUCUAACUUCCAGAUAUUGGAUGAGGCUGCUGUACAGAAGGUCUUCUUGAAGUCCCUUGAUAACUAUAUCAAGUGGUGCAACUAUUUGGACAUCCCACCUGUGUGGAGCAAGUAAGGUUUCAUAUUCAGCUGUGUUUUGAGCGUGCACUGUAAAAGUAUUUCGUCUUAAUAGAACUGUAGUUUUUCUACUUGGAAAAUAUUUUCAUCUUAGUAUAGUGAAAAACUGUAACUGGUACUUUGUGCUCUGAGUUUCUGAUACUUCGCUUCUGCUUUUGCAGUUUGGAUGUAGUUAGCAAGGAGAAGAAGUUGUUAUUCAUUUCUUUGUAUUUCUUAAUCUGGGGUGAAGCUGCUAACAUUCGAUUCGUUCCAGAAUGCUUGUGCUACAUAUUCCAUCAUGUAUGUCAAUUUGGUGUACCUUUUGUCUCUUGACCGAUUUAAAAAUUCUCUCAAUUUGAUGAUCUCCAUUCUCCUUUGUCUUCUUCUUGUGAUAAUUAAAGUACUCUCUGGCUGACCUGUCAGUAUGUUCUAAGUUUGCUCUUUAAGUGUUAUUUGCCCUUUGUCUCCAGGGUGUUCUCUUUGGUGGGAGGGUAUGUGGGAUUGUCGGAUAAGAGGGUGCACUAUAAAUUUCUUAAAAUGGAAGGGCAAAAGCCAGAAGAGAGAAGCCAUAAUUAUGAUUACUUCAUCCCAAGUUUUUUGAUCUUACUUUUGCUUUGCUUGGAAAAAUUAAUUUCAUGACAGAUGGGAAGGGAACUGGAGGAGAUACUACGACAGCAGGUUGCACAGUCUGCUAAGAGCUGCAUGUCUGAUAAUGGCGUGUCAUUUCUUGAUCAAGUAAUAUGUCCUGUUUAUGAUGUCAUUGCGGCGGUAUGUUUUUUGUUUUUUCCCCUGUUGUUGUUGUAGCCUACUUUCUGUUUCUAAAGAUCAUUGACAGAGACAUUCAUACAUGUAACAUAUGACUAAAUAUGUACGUGCAUACAUAUGCGUACUCUUACUUGUCGAACCUGUUUUUGAUUUUGAUUAUUAUUAUAGUACGUGGUGACAUUAUAAUCAGUGUACAUAUAAAGGCAUCACUCUUUUGAACAUUUAUUGCUGUUGUGAAAUCUCUGUUGACAUGCUAAUGGUUGACUUAUGGUACUGUGUUGUUUUGACAGAUCCCACUUAUCACUUGUCCCCAUCAUCUUUUCCUGAUAUUCUUGACUGGCUUUGCAGUUUUGUCAUCCCUACUUAGUU
rnacentral:lncRNA from 1 species